rnacentral:lncRNA from 1 species
CUUUAGAGCUUCAGCACGCUGUGCUAGUUCAUCACACUCUGCCUGGCUCCCAAAGGCAAAGAGGAGUCAGGGGUCAAUCCAAAUUGGCAAAGAAACAAGAAAAGAAAUAUCAGUACCUGCUUGCGUAACCUAGUCAUGGGUCAAUCCAAAUUGGCAAAGAAACAAGAAUUGAAAUAUCAGUACCUGCUUGCGUAACCUAGACCUACGCGCAGAUUCCCUGUUGGACUGCUUUCGUCUCUGCCUCUUAAGCUCCCUUUCAUCCUAUAUUCAAGGGAAGUAAAUGUUCUAGGUUACUAAUGACUAAGUUACAAAUAGAGCAAAGGAAAAUAAAGGGUGACGUGUCCGCAGUUAGAAAAAGUAGAAGAGGACAUCUGAAGAGCAUGGAGAUUAUGGUGUUCAAUGCUGAGUACCCAGCAAGGCUGCAAUACCCAGGCAAAUAUCUGUAGCAUUAGUAAAGUCUAUAUGUGUGAGAACAAAUUAAAAGAGCUCUACCAGUAAUCCUAUGACGGCUAUAGUGAACACUAAUUCAUACAGCUCCCAUGUAACUAAAAUACAUGCUCUUAAAUUGGGUGUUCAGUAUGCACAUAUAAAAGUACGCUACUAUCUGCAAUAUUUAUAUCUAUCACCACAGCCUUGUUUAUAUAAUGGAACACACAGAAUAGAUCUGCCACAUGUUAAGUUAAAGCUGCAAAAGAGAAAAAAUUAAUAAGACAGAAGAAGCUACCUGAAAGUAAAUGUUCCAGGUUACUAAUAACUAAGUUACAAAUAGAGCAAAGGAAAAUAAAGGGUGACACGUCCGCAAUUAGAAAAAGAAGAAGAGAACAUCUGAAGAGUGAAAAAAAUGGACAUUGAGCCUAACUCAACCCCAAAAGCUAGCUUAUGAGGUGAGGAUUGCCCAAGCCANNNN